CUUUUUGUUUUUUAUUUGUUAUUUCAUCCUUCUUUGUUGAGAAUAUUUGCUGGACAUUAACUCUUAAUUUUUUUUAAUUACUUAUAAAUUUAUAUACAAUUUUUUUUUUAUGUAUUCGACCCUCUAAAAAAAAUUUGAUCUAAAAAUUUUGUUGCCGCCUAUUUUUUCACUAAAAAUUAAGAAACUCCCGCUCCUAGCAAAAAUUAAAAAAAUUCGAUGCACAAACAAAAUUAGGGAACUAACGCCCUAACCCCAUUAUCUUUUCAACACGCCGUAACCCCGUUCUCUCUUUCCCUCUGUAGACGCAAGGAAAACUCAACCUCGAUCUUCCUCUUCCUCAUCGUCAACGGAGAACCUCUCUUCCUCGCGGGGAAAGACUGCCCUCGUCACCUCUGGCACUCGUGGAAUUGGACCUAGCUGGACUGUGCACACCUAUUCUCGGGAUGAAGCAGAGCUUGACAAGUGCUUACGAGAAAAGGAGUUUAAGGAUUUCUGAAUGCUGGGACUUUUUGGCAGGAGUUUGGCCAGAGUCGAAGAGCUUCAGUGAUAAAGGAUUAGGGCAUGUGCCAGAGGAGAGUGUUACUGAUGGACAAAUAACUGCGGGAAAAUCUGCAGGGAACUUGUAAUCUCUCAUUUUGGUGUGCUUGAAUCAUGGGAUAAGGUUUUGCAUUUCAAGGAAGCCGUAUUUAUAUACAAGUCACUGGAAGACUUGAAAGCUGCAUUCAAACACUUGAUUCGGUUGGAAGAGGGCUUUGAGGACUAUUGAUAUAGGAUAUAUCUUAGGAUUGUAAUGAGUUUUUGGAAUUUGUUACAUUGGUCUUUUCCUAAUGAUAAUAUAUAUUAUUUUUUGGA